CGCGGCCUAUCAGCUUGUUGGUGGGGUAAUGGCCUACCAAGGCGACGACGGGUAGCCGGCCUGAGAGGGUGAUCGGCCACACUGGAACUGAGACACGGCCCAGACUCCUACGGGAGGCAGCAGUGGGGAAUAUUGCACAAUGGGCGGAAGCCUGAUGCAGCGACGCCGCGUGGGGGAUGACGGUCUUCGGAUUGUAAACUCCUUUCAGUAGGGACGAAGCGAGAGUGACGGUACCUGCAGAAGAAGCACCGGCCAACUACGUGCCAGCAGCCGCGGUAAUACGUAGGGUGCGAGCGUUGUCCGGAAUUACUGGGCGUAAAGAGCUCGUAGGCGGUUUGUCACGUCGUCUGUGAAAUCCUCCAGCUCAACUGGGGGCGUGCAGGUGAUACGGGCUGACUUGAGUACUACAGGGGAGACUGGAAUUCCUGGUGUAGCGGUGAAAUGCGCAGAUAUCAGGAGGAACACCGGUGGCGAAGGCGGGUCUCUGGGUAGUAACUGACGCUGAGGAGCGAAAGCAUGGGGAGCAAACAGGAUUAGAUACCCUGGUAGUCCAUGCCGUAAACGGUGGGCGCUAGGCGUGGGGUCCUUCCACGGAUUCCGUGCCGUAGCUAACGCAUUAAGCGCCCCGCCUGGGGAGUACGG
rnacentral:rRNA from 1 species